rnacentral:misc_RNA from 1 species
AGAUAUCUAUUAGUUUCUUCAUCUAGUACCUUGUUCUUUGUAGCCAAAUCAAAUCUGCAUUUUAGGGUAAUGAUUUUUCUUCUUUUUUUUGUUUGAACUCUUGCUGGCUGAAACUUUGCAGUCUUAAUUUUAGUGUAGGAUUUUGCUUAAUCUUAGAUUAAAUCUCUUGUUCAUCUUGUUUUCCUUGAGUUUGUCUGUAGGAUUAGAGUUAAUCAAGCUGAAACCUAUCUUUGACACUAGCUAUUUGCCUCUUGAGUUAUAUGAUAUCAAGUCUGAGUAUGUUCAAUUGGGUAAUUAAUGCUUGGGAUGUGCCUGUGUGCUAGUGGGUAGAGCUUGAUUUGGAUUGCCAAAGUACUUGAGUGGUAUCAGUAGUUGAUUCUGCAAUUUUUAUCCUUUGCAUC